GAUGAACGCUGGCGGCGUGCCUAAUACAUGCAAGUCGAGCGAACGGACGAGAAGCUUGCUUCUCUGAUGUUAGCGGCGGACGGGUGAGUAACACGUGGAUAACCUACCUAUAAGACUGGGAUAACUUCGGGAAACCGGAGCCAAUACCGGAUAAUAUUUUGAACCGCAUGGUUCAGAAGUGAAAGACGGUCUUGCUGUCACUUAUAGAUGGAUCCGCGCUGCAUUAGCUAGUUGGUAAGGUAACGGCUUACCAAGGCAACGAUGCAUAGCCGACCUGAGAGGGUGAUCGGCCACACUGGAACUGAGACACGGUCCAGACUCCUACGGGAGGCAGCAGUAGGGAAUCUUCCGCAAUGGGCGAAAGCCUGACGGAGCAACGCCGCGUGAGUGAUGAAGGUCUUCGGAUCGUAAAACUCUGUUAUUAGGGAAGAACAUAUGUGUAAGUAACUGUGCACAUCUUGACGGUACCUAAUCAGAAAGCCACGGCUAACUACGUG
rnacentral:rRNA from 1 species